GACGAACGCUGGCGGCGUGCUUAACACAUGCCAGUCGAACGGAAAGGCCCUGCUUGCAGGGUACUCGAGUGGCGAACGGGUGAGUAACACGUGGGUGAUCUGCCCUGCACUUCGGGAUAAGCCUGGGAAACUGGGUCUAAUACCGGAUAGGAGCCAUUUUUAGUGUGAUGGUUGGAAAGUUUUUUCGGUGUAGGGUGAGGGCGCGGCCUAUCAGCUUGGUGGUGGGGUAAUGGCCUAACAAGGCGGCGACGGGUAGCCGGCGUGAGAGGGUGGACGGCAACAGUGGGACUGAGACACGGCCACGACUCCUACGGGUGGCAGCAGUGGGGAAGAUUGCACAAGGGGAGCAAGCCAGAUGCAGAUACGCCGCGUGGGGGAUGACGGCCUUGGGGUUGGAAACUCCUUUCGCUAGGGACGAAGCUUUUUGUGACGGUACCUAGAUAAGAAGCACCGGCUAACUACGUG
rnacentral:rRNA from 1 species